rnacentral:piRNA from 1 species
UGGAUGCAGAUCUUUCCUUUCUCCC